rnacentral:lncRNA from 1 species
GUGUUGAAAAUUAUAUAACAUAUCACUUUUGUUAUUAAUAUCAUAUAUUUGUUUAAUGUGUUCAUAAAGUUUUUUGUUUCUUUUAUAACAUGGGACGAGAGAUGAUAAUUGCAUGAAGUGGGCUUAGAGGAUGCUCGUGUGCUGAUGGACCUGCUGAUGAUGAGCUUAACUUGGCUUAACUUGUUGAUGGGCUUAACCUAAAGUGUGAAUAUAUAUAAUGAACUCAUCAUGUCAUUGCUCUUCAGAGUUCAUUCAGUAUCAUUGCUCUUCAGAUUCUUCUAUCAGAAUCUUCUUGUGAGUGUAUGCAGAUCAUCGUGUUGAUGAUCUGCUUGUGAGGAGAAAUUUUUUUGAGUUGUUCUGUUGUUUGUAUUUGUUUCUAAAUAAGAGUUUCAGUCUUUGUUCCAUGUAUUUUUGACAUGGUAUCAGAGUUGCGGUUGCUCUUUGGGUAAAUCGGUGGUCUUGGGUUUUCCAAUCAUAUUUCCGCUGUGGUUUGAAUCAAGGUUGAUCUAUUAAUGUUCUUCACUAGAUUCUGGGUAGUUACAUAACUGUCGUUUCCAGAUCUUGAAAGUUUGUGAAGAUCCCUUCUUUUAGGGCUUGUUUUUGUGUCAGAUCUGGGUGAUUCAAGGGAGACUGAGGAGUCUUGGUGGUGUGAAGAAUAGAAACCCUAAUAUUAGGGUUUGUGAUUGUUGAAGCUUUGAAGGGGAUUCUUGUUGGUCUCUAUAAUCCAUGAAGAUUACAGGGCAAACUAACAGAGUCUUUGGUAUUAUUUCUUCUGUUAGUAACUUGUAGCCCUAAGUGAAGGCUACAAGUCUGACUGCUUGGAGUUAUACGCAUCAGGUCGUGUUAUUCUUUUCUUAAGGUUUUUUAUUUCUGUUCUUGCAUUAGGCAUUGAUGUUGCCGGAGUAGUUGGGCCGGUUUGUUGUUUGGGACACAGAGAGGGCACACUCUGUUGCAUUUAGUGUGUUCUGUGAUUCAUACUUGUUGUUUGAUUGCUUCUGUGUUUAUUUCUUUGUUGUUAUAUGUUUGAUAAUUGUUGUUGUUGGUUUUAUUUGACAUUUAAUUCUUAAGUUUUCAUAGACAUAAAUAAGGGUCCAACUUCUGUGUUAGGACUUGGGUAGGCACCUGCAGAGUGACGAACCUACCAUGGCCCCUGACACAGAUUUGUUGUUAAGUUGUUUGAUGCGUGUUAGUGUGUAUAUGUUUUAGGUAUAUAUUUUAAGCCCUUUUUACACUUUUUAACCAAGUUUUAAAUUUAUAAAACACGAUAUUUACUAACACUAAACACACAUAUGGGCAAGUGCACCCAUCGUGGACGUAGUAUAGUGUUGGUAAGAUACCGAGGUCGUCCAAGGACACAAGAGCUUUUAGUACCGGUUUAUCCUCAACGUCUAAUUAAAUCAAAAUGUUAGAAAAAGAUUGUUAAACUAAGAAAAUAAAACUAACUAAAAUGCUGAAAAAUAAAAUAAAAGUAAAAAACAGAUAGACAAGAUGAAUCACUUAGAUCUGACUCGUGUGUAGUGUAACCUUUGAUUAUUUUCGCACUUUUGCACUUGUUUAAGAGAUUAUCUUAGUUAUUGUAGUAGGCCCCUCUUUUGAAGGUGACGUUACCCUCAACCCAGUAGUUUGAGUCAGCAAGGAUACAAUCUUAAAGGGUCGGAUUAUUGAAAGAUAAUUAAUUAAGUUAUUAAUGCAUAAUGUGGUAGGCCCCUCUUUUGAAGGCGACGUUACCCUCGGCUAAGUAGUCUGAGUCAGCAGGAAUACAGUCCUAAGUAGCUGGGUUAAAGUUUUAAUAGUAGUUUAACUUAUGAGGGGAUCAAAGAGUUUGGACCCCCGCCAUCCAAUACCUUGGGUAUUGAAGGAGGUCCUACUAAAUUUGACCCAGGUCCUUUACAGGAUCUAUACACUGAACGAUGGCAAGACUCUUACCAAAACGUUCCCUUAACCCUCGACCAGGUAGCCAACAUACCUCCAUAUAGACCGUGGAGAUAUGAAUGGUGAAAAUCUUUUAUUUUAUAUAGACAGUAAAAUAAUGCCAAGACACCACAGACAAACGAUAAGGAAGAAUCACAUUCAACAUAAGAAACUAGUAAUUAAAGUCAUUAAUACAAAACCAAUUA